AAUUUUCUAUAGCCAUAUAUGUUUCGAACUUCGUGAAGAUAUGACUCGUCUCGAAAAUCAUUUCAGUCUCAACAGAAUUCUUUUACUUGCUAUAGGCCUCUGGCCAUAUGAGCAAUCGAUAUUUUCUCGGCUUCAAUUUAUUCUUUUCUCUGUUAUUCUUAUGAGUGCUAUUGUAUUCCAGCUUACAGUAUUUUUGACUUCAACAUGUACUCCGGAUCUGAUUCUUAAGGUUUCCUCUACUGUGCUUAUAUUUUGUGUAUUUUUAAUAAAAUACAUCUCGUUGGGUUUUAAUGUUGAUUCAGUGAAAGAAUUGUUUACUCACCUGCAAUACAUACAUGAUGAGUUAAAGGAUAAAAACGAAAUUGCUAUCACAGAUGAGUAUGGCCAUAAUGCAAAACGUUGCACGGCUGUCCUAAUAAUGAUUUCCAUGGUUGGCACAUGCUUAUUUGUAGUUAUUCAUUUCUGGUCGGAUGUUCUUGAUGUUAUUUUCCAGAUAAACAUAUCCCGAUCGCAUAAUUUGCCCAUCAUAACAGAAUAUUUUAUUAAUCAAGAAAAAUAUUACUAUUUAAUUCUGCUGCACCUAGGCAUAUCAACUUAUAUAGGAUUUUUUAUAACAUUAGCAAUAGGAACAAUGCUCAUUACAUUCUUUCACUACACCUGCGGCGUGUUUAGAAUUGCUAGCUAUCGCAUCAAGCAUUCAAUAACAUUCAACAUGAUACAAAACAACAGGAAAAAUGAAAAUUUGAUAUCCAAAAGGAUAACCUAUGCUGUAAAUAUUCAUCGUCAAGCUAUGAUGUUAUCGAGAUGUAUGGUAUCUAGAUUUCAAAGAAUGUAUUGUUGCUUGAUUCUGUUUGGAGUGAUUGCUUUAAGCAUCAACUUAUUUCGAAUUUGUCAGAUUGCAUCUUUGAAAACUCCUCUUAAGGAGAUAAUGAUGCCUUUUGUUGUUGUUGUUGGCAGUCUCGUGUACAUGUUUACUGCAAAUUACCUUGGUCAAGAUAUAACGGAUCAUUGUAAAGAUGUAUUUCUUACUGCAUACAACAUUCAGUGGUAUAUAGCUCCGUUGCGAGUACAGAGCUUGAUAUUGUUCCUGUUGCAAAGGGGCUCAACGGAUUUUAAAGUAAAUAUCGGUGGAUUAUUUAUUCCAUCCUUAGAAGGUUUUGCCAUGCUUCUGAAAGCCUCGGUAUCUUAUUGUACUGUUAUAUAUUCGACACGGUGAUGAAGCAAGAAUUAAUCAGAUAACAAUAUAGUAAAAAUAUAGAUAAUAAUGGAGCAUAGAAAUACAUUUUAUAUUCCAAAACAGAAAAUUCCUAUUGCGCAAGUAAUACAUUUAAGAAUGUCGCUUCGGCAAUAAAAUAGAUAUCUAUGAUUAAAAUCAUGUAGAAAAUAUUCUCACGUCUAGUCUUCGCAACAUUCUAAAAAAGCUCCUUUGCUUUCCUAGUGUUUCUUAUUAAAAUAGUGCCAGUGCAUCGGUUUAGCAUUUUUAUUAAAAGAACUUAGUAAAUAAUUAAUUUAUUAUAAGUUUGCACUUAUAAAUUUUUAAGUUACGCUUGCCUAUGUAUUUUGUACAAAUAAUGUAGCUAUAAUGUACUGGAUUAAUUGUGCCAGUGAUAUGUUAUAGCUUGAAUCUUUAUCAAGUAUAAUACCUGUAUCUAAAUGUUUUAAAAUAUAUAAGCAGGUAUAAUACGAAUAAAUAUAUUUUCGUAUUAUUA
rnacentral:misc_RNA from 1 species